AACGAACGCUGGCGGCGUGCCUAACACAUGCAAGUCGUGCGAGAAAGUUCCUUCGGGAGCGAGUAAAGCGGCGCACGGGUGAGUAACACGUAGGUAACCUGCCCCCCAGUCUGGAACAACUAGAGGAAACUCUAGCUAAUGCCGGAUAAGACCACGGCCCCCUCGGGGGCUGCGGCCAAAGAUGGCCUCUACUUGUACGCUAUCGCUGAGGGAUGGGCCUGCGGGCCAUUAGCUUGUUGGUGAGGUAACGGCUCACCAAGGCUGUGAUGGCUAGCUGGUCUGAGAGGAUGACCAGCCACACUGGGACUGAGACACGGCCCAGACUCCUACGGGAGGCAGCAGUGGGGAAUAUUGCGCAAUGGGCGAAAGCCUGACGCAGCGACGCCGCGUGGGUGAUGAAGGCCUGGUCGUAAG
rnacentral:rRNA from 1 species